AAAAAAGUCUAUAAAGACUUUGAAAAAGAAAAAGGAGUCAACCAGCCCAUAUGGUAAUACGGGGGGCUGCGUUCUGAUAAUACUGUAUUGGUUCUGUCAAAAGACUGGAAAAAUCAAGCCAAUAUCUGGAAGGGAGAACGAAGAUCAUGGGAUGAGAAAAUGGGACAUCCAGAAGCUGAUACAGAAUUGGACAAGUUUUAACAGCUUGAAAAAACUAGAGAAAAUCUUUGAAAACCUGAAGGAGGAUAGAGAGGAAUCAGAAUCCGAGGAAGAGGAGAAUAGAUCAGAUGAAGCAAAGACAGUUCCGGAAGGAGAGGA